UACGAAGGGGGCUAGCGUUGUUCGGAAUUACUGGGCGUAAAGGGCGCGUAGGCGGCCUGCUAAGUCGAACGUGAAAUCCCCGGGCUCAACCCGGGAACUGCGUCCGAUACUGGCAGGCUUGAAUCCGGGAGAGGGAUGUGGAAUUCCAGGUGUAGCGGUGAAAUGCGUAGAUAUCGAGAGGAACACCUGCGGCGAAGGCGGGUUGCUGGGCUGACACUGACGCUGAUGCGCGAAAGCCAGGGGAGCGAACGGG
rnacentral:rRNA from 1 species